GACGAACGCUGGCGGCGUGGAUUAGGCAUGCAAGUCGAACGGUAGGAUACCUUCGGGUAUCUGAGAGUGGCGAACGGGUGAGUAACACGUAGGUGAUCUACCCUCAAGAUUGGGACAACCCAGGGAAACUUGGGCUAAUACCGGAUGAAAGCAGCAGUGAUGUUGUUUGAAAGGUGGCGUAAGCUGCCGUUUGGGGAUGAGCCUGCGCUCUACUAGUUAGUUGGCGGGGUAAAGGCCCACCAAGGCGAUGAUAGAUAGGCGGCCUUAACGGGUGGUCGCCCACACUGGGAUUGAGAUACGGCCCAGACUCCUACGGGAGGCAGCAGUCGAGAAUAGUCUACAAUGGCCGAAAGGCUGAUAGUGCGACGCCGCGUGAACGAAGAAGCCCUUCGGGUGUAAAGUUCUUUUAUAUGUGAGCAGUGCUUUCUAUGUGAACAGCAUGGGGAGAGAGAUAUUAGCAUAUGAAUAAGCAACGGCUAACUCCGUGCCAGC
rnacentral:rRNA from 1 species